AGCAUAAUCCCUUGCCUCCUAAUUAGUGGCUAGUAUGAAUGGAUAAACGAAAAUCAAACUGUCUCUAUAAAAUAUAUAAAAAUUAGCCUUUAAGUGAAGAGACUUAAAUUAAAUUAAAAGACAAGAAGACCCUGUAGAGCCUAAACAAACAAUAAAUAACAAUAAUAUUAAAACCAUUUUAUCCUUGUUUCAGUUGGGGCGACUGGGGAGCAGCUAAAUCCUCCCCCUUACAACGGCCAAUAAGCCAAAUAAACGAGCCAUUUCUAAUGAUCAAAAAACACGGCUACCUCAGGGAUAACAGUCUAAUCUUCCUUAAGAGCCCAAAUUGCCAGGAAGGAUUGGCACCUCGAUGUUGGCUUAAGAGCUCUUUUACGCGCAGCCGCAUAAAAAGUGGGUUUGUUCAACCUUUAAAAU
rnacentral:rRNA from 1 species